UCAACUUUUCAAACAAUAAUCUAAACAACGAAGGAAGGUUGCGGACAGUGCUUGAUGUUGGCUGUGGUGUUGCUAGUUUUGGAGCUUACCUCCUUUCAUCUGAUAUCAUUGCAAUGUCCUUGGCACCAAAUGAUGUGCAUCAAAAUCAAAUCCAGUUUGCCUUAGAAAGAGGAAUUCCUGCAUAUUUGGGUGUCCUGGGAACCAAGAGACUCCCUUACCCAAGCAGAUCUUUUGAACUUGCUCAUUGUUCUCGUUGUCGAAUUGAUUGGCUUCAAAGAGAUGGAAUACUACUACUUGAACUAGAUCGAUUGUUGAGGCCAGGAGGUUAUUUUGCAUACUCAUCUCCAGAAGCAUAUGCACAGGAUGAAGAGGAUCUAAGGAUAUGGAGAGAAAUGAGUGACCUUGUGGGACGCAUGUGUUGGAGAAUAGCUGCAAAAAGGAACCAAACUGUCAUUUGGCAGAAACCUUUGACAAACGAUUGCUAUAUGGAAAGAGAGCCUGGUACCCGCCCCCCUCUUUGUCAGUCUGAUAGUGACCCAGAUGCUGUGUGGGGAGUAAAUAUGGAAGCUUGUAUAACACCUUACAGUGAUCGUGAGUACCCUUUUCUCAAUGUUAGUUAUGGUUUUUGCAUUAUCUGACUUUGGUGAUUCUUUUUGGAGCUAUUUUAUGCCUGCUUCCUUAGUGGCAUGCAUUGUAUUUUUAUUCUAUGGUUUCUACUAUCCGUUCCAGCACGAAGAGUUAUUUCCCUAUAAUAUCUGCUUCGUUAUGUAGUAUGUGUCUCUCCAAGUUACAUUGAAUUGGCCUUAGAACUGAAUAUUGCAUUCUUUGCAAAGGAAUACCUCUUAGAAAACUGCUUUUGAACUGAGUGUGGUCGAGUAUUUGAGUAUGAAACUUGUUUGAUAUAGGCCUGUGUGUUGCAUUUACACUACUGAUUAGUUGUAGAAGCUCCCUAAUUUGCUUCAAAUUCAUGUCACCUGCGCACCAAGUUGCUAAAAUUUUGCUUAAAAUUUUAUUUUUGAUUUGUUUAAUUUUUAAUUAAAGAAUAUUUUUAUUUCCUUUAUCAGAUGACAACAGAGUUAAAGGUAGUGGAUUAGCUCCAUGGCCUGCAAGAUUGACUAGUCCUCCUCCUAGACUAGCUGACUUUGGCUAUUCAAGUGAUAUGUUUGAAAAGGACACGGUAAUUGAAAAUUACAAUUUUUCCGCUUCAUGAUGAUUGUGAUAUUUAUUCAUUCGUUGUAUACUGCGCAAUUCAUAAGCUUAAUAAACAAACUGUUGGGUUAAAUUUUGUCAUGUGGUACAGGAACUUUGGAAAAGGAGAGUAGAGAAAUACUGGAAUCUCUUGAAUCCUAAAAUCAAAUCAAACACACUGAGGAACAUAAUGGAUAUGAAAGCACACAUGGGUUCAUUUGGAGCUGCUCUUAGAGAUAAGAAUGUUUGGGUGAUGAACGUUGUACCCAAAGAUGGAUUAAACACACUCAAGCUCGUCUAUGAUAGAGGCCUCAUAGGCACUACCCAUGAUUGGUAUUGAAGCUCUUUCACCUGAAAUUUAAAUAUUUAGUUAUCACUUCUUUGAUAUUGUUCGACACAUUCAAGGCAUCCUUUUUUUAUGAACUGAUUUGAUUGACGUCUGGAAUUCUGGAUUUGAUAAAAAAAAAGCAUUAUUUCAAUCCAGAUUGAUUUAAUCUUUUAUGUUGUUUGUUCCUCCAGUUCAUGAAAGAUUAGAUUUGAUCAGAUUUUCAUGUGUCAUAUCCUAACAGGUGUGAAGCAUUUUCAACGUACCCUCGAACCUAUGAUUUACUCCAUGCAUGGACUGUCUUCUCCGACCUAGAAAAGAAGCUUGAUUCCCCCUCCACCUGGAUACAAGGUGAAAAUCCAUUGAGCAUAGAUGUGAUCCUCAGCAUAUCCUUGUGUACAUUUAUCUGAUUUUAGUAACAUUGAUUGUUUCUCUGAUGCUGCAGAUCCCUAUUAAGUGGCCACAAAGCAGAGAUGAGGUGUGGAAAGCAAAUAUCCCACAUACUCACCUUGCACAUGAGAAGUCUGAUCAGAAUUGGAUGGUUGUCAAAGGUGAAAAGAUAAACUUUCCUGGAGGAGGAACUCAUUUUCAUUACGGUGCUGAUAAGUACAUUGCAUCGAUUGCUAAUGUGAGGCUAAGUCUGACUCUACUAGUGUUUGCUAAAAAAAUAGAUGCAAUUAUGUAUUUUGUUUUUAGUAUUUGGAAUACCAUAGGAUUUUAGUAUUAUGUGUCUAUCUUUCUAGAUCUUUAUUUUUAUUAAAUGGCUCAGAGUAUCCCUAUAUGAAGAUUUGCUAUGAUUUCAUGGAGAAAUUAUAAUCUUACAUUCUAUUUUGCAUUGCCAGAUGCUCAACUUUUCAAACAAUAAUCUAAACAACGAAGGAAGGUUGCGGACAGUGCUUGAUGUUGGCUGUGGUGUUGCUAGUUUUGGAGCUUACCUCCUUUCAUCUGAUAUCAUUGCAAUGUCCUUGGCACCAAAUGAUGUGCAUCAAAAUCAAAUCCAGUUUGCCUUAGAAAGAGGAAUUCCUGCAUAUUUGGGUGUCCUGGGAACCAAGAGACUCCCUUACCCAAGCAGAUCUUUUGAA
rnacentral:lncRNA from 1 species